GAUGAACGCUGGCGGCGUGCCUAAUACAUGCAAGUCGAGCGAACAGACGAGGAGCUUGCUCCACUGACGUUAGCGGCGGACGGGUGAGUAACACGUGGAUAACCUACCUAUAAGACUGGGAUAACUUCGGGAAACCGGAGCUAAUACCGGAUAAUAUAUUGAACCGCAUGGUUCAAUAGUGAAAGACGGUUUUGCUGUCACUUAUAGAUGGAUCCGCGCCGCAUUAGCUAGUUGGUAAGGUAACGGCUUACCAAGGCAACGAUGCGUAGCCGACCUGAGAGGGUGAUCGGCCCCACUGGAACUGAGACACGGUCCAGACUCCUAAGGGAGGCAUCAGUAGGGAAUCUUCCGCAAUGGGCGAAAGCCUGACGGAGCAACGCCGCGUGAGUGAUGAAGGUCUUCGGAUCGUAAAACUCUGUUAUUAGGGAAGAACAAAUGUGUAAGUAACUAUGCACGUCUUGACGGUACCUAAUCAGAAAGCCACGGCUAACUACGUG
rnacentral:rRNA from 1 species